UUGCUGCGUCAGAGCCCACACUCGCACCAACCCUAGCCGCCACACCUCUCCUUCCUCCCUCGCUCGACAGCGUCGCACCCCUCCCUCCUUCCUGCUCGUCCGGAUAGCCGCCGACCACCGCAUCCCUUCUCCCCUUUCCUCCUCCAUCCUCCUUCCCACUGGCGCCCCUCGCGCUCGUCCUCGGAAGGGGGGCCUCCCGCAUGGAUGAUCGGGUCUUCAAACUGGGGUUAGAGGAGCAGGGGAGGGCCAAGAAGCCAGCGGUGGGGGUAGAGGAGUAGGGGAGGGCCAAGAAAGCUGACCGGGAGCACACCACCAUAGGCGUCAAGGGAGCCGUGGACAAGCCGCCAGGAGGAGAAAGCUCCCAGUUUGAGGAGGAGACUACGUCACAGAAGCUGGGAAGCAUGAUGCUCGAUUAGUGGGCCGCCGCUUGAGAAGAAGCUUGUCAUAUGUCUCUUCAAGCCGCGGCGACUAGGGGCCUUCGAAGAACACGGGGUUUGACAUAGCCAUCGAGGAAGUGCAGGAUACAAACCAUAUGUAAUCAAAGAGGAUAUGGAUUCGGUACGACCAUGAGUGAAGGAAUGUUGUUCCAAUUUGGAGCUUGGAGAAUGUUUUCUCACUGUGGUUCAGGUUAAACUGUUGUUCUACUAUUCCUGCUCAUCCUCCUAAUGUUCUAUUUCUUCGAUGCACCUUCUUCCAGCUUCUCUACUGGUUUUCUCUUCACACUGAUGUAAGUACAUGUUCCUCCCUUCGUCCAAAUCUUCUCCGACCAUGGUCGUUUGCAUCUGGUCAUAGUUGUUUGCAUGUUUCACCCCUGUUGGUGGUUCACGCGUCGGCCUCGGUGCUUUGAGCAGACCAACAUUUCUCAUCUUGGUGAUUGUAUUAUUGGGGCUUUGCUACAUGUGUAGGUUUGAAUCGAUGGCUAGAAAUACAUAGUGCCAUUUUGUCUUAUGGAGUGAUAAUUAAGCAGACACACAUAGCCGCAAAAGGGAUUGCUCAAAUGAAAUAAGUUGCUAAUUUUGUAUCUUUGACACUCAUGGAAAAGGUGCAUGCCAAUCCUAAUUAUAACCGUAUCACAUAUAUGGAACUGCAUUAGACGAAUGGUGUUAUCAGGAUGACAAAUUUCAGUCACAGAACUGAACGUUCCUUUUCUUGGUGUAUAUUUGUCAUAUACAGAAUUCAGAAAAAUUGUUGGAUAUUACAAUUCAUAUAUUCACUAUUUAGAAUCGAGAUAUCCAAUCAUGUUAGGAUAUGAUAUGGUCUUUAUCCAGGGGUUCUAAGUAUUAUGAAUGUGCAUGUCCUGAUACAUGUAAUUAUAAGGUAGUUACAAGCUAGCUGGACAUGUGUGUCAAAGUGCUUGCAUUUCAGUUUAUGUAGGAAGAGGAGCAUCAAUACCUAGUUCUCCCGCCUUGUAUAUGUAACGUCUUCCUUCCAAGCAAUUAGUAUAUGGAAUUAGAGAUUCUUAUAUCCAUAUUUUUUGGAACUUCGUGGAUUCCUACCAUCUCUAUAUAAUUACAACAAAACCAAUAGGUUAGAGUGGCGUGUCCCUUAGUGCGACCGAUUGGGUACAGAUGAAGCCUCUCAUCCCACAUGCUCAUUGUUUCUACCUCAAACCAAUCCCGUGGCCUCCUUUUAAAUUAUUGAUACAUGUGUUGCUUCAUUUAUUUAUUUUGAGAUCACAUAUUAUCCAAUUCCUUAUUAUUAUUGUUAAAGAAAUAGCCUAACAUUAUACAUGGAUUGACACUGAAUAUGUAAAUCAGGUAGCAUACUUACAUUAAUGCGUUCAAACAAUUUUAUUCAUCACCUGAUAGAAGGAAUAAUGGUGACAUUUCAAUACAUUUUUUCAGUCAUGUAUGCAGUGUUGGCAAAGAGCCUGCUGAUACGUCCAUUUUGCAUCAUGUUUUCCUACUAUUAUUUAUAAUGGUUUUAUGCAUAAUAAUGCUUUAUGAAGUAAUUCUAAUGCCCUUUCUCUCAUAAUA